GGCUCUAUUCAGUCAAGGGGUGAUGAACUCUCUUUGGGUCUGGAGACAGGCUGGAACUGGGAUGAGAUAUGGAGACCCUGCCAUUUACGACAACGUGGAUGUAUCUGCAGGACAUUAAGACAAGUGCAAUAAGCAAGACACGGAAAGAAAAUAUAGCAUGGUCUCUCUUAUAUGUGGAAUUUUAAAAAUUAACUCUGAAUACUUUGGAUUAAACUGAUGCAGCAGUCAUCCAAGAGAUGUCCACAUAUGUACUCCUGUUAAUGUUAGUUCCUUUCAUCCAAGCCAUCAGAGGUUCUCCCUGGAUCUCAUUUUUGGGAGUAGCUGACUUUUUCAUUCUCUGCUGGAGCGUUUGGGCUGAUUCAUCACCCCCUCCCCCACCACCAUUCACUGAAUGUAGCCACUGGUCGUGGCUGCCUUUUCUGCUAUUUUAUAGAACCAAGCCUGAAUCUAUAAAGCGCUUCCCUUGGUACCUCCCAGAAACUUUUUAUUGCCUGUCUCUUUCUGUCAACUCAGUUGCAGAAAAAUACAUUUUAUGGCUCCAGUAAUUUAAGAAAGCUCUGAAAAAUCAAAUCUGUCCAUGGCAGUGCUAGCAUACUGUCUAUUAGAUUAAAUGAAGCUGUAAGCAUCUUUGAAGUACAAAUGAUACUUGGAAAGUAAAUGAAACUGGGAAUACUUGCAAGUAAAAUAUGGGAAGUCAAAGAGAUUAAAGGAUGAGAACCAGAAAUUGCUUAUGGCCAGUGUCCUGAGUAAGCCUCAGAAUCGCAUCCUAGAAGCAUCAAGUUCUUGUGUUACCCUAUGGAUCUAAAAAACGACUUCCUUAGUUUGAUGUAGUCUGCAGACAUCUCAUCAUCACAAAAACUUGAAAGCACUUACAGCACUAAGAAACUACCUUUGCAGAUUGUAAAAAAAGAUAGAAUCCUACUUAGUGUUUUGAUCACACCUGCCUAUUUCCCCAAGGUUUUACUGCAGGGUUAAAGAAUGAAUAAGCAUCUAGUUAUAUUUAAUAAACUCCAUGCCUUAUGGCUGAUUCU
rnacentral:lncRNA from 1 species